UACGUAGGGAGCAAGCGUUGUUCGGAAUUACUGGGCGUAAAGCGCACGUAGGCGGACAUUUAAGUCAGGGGUGAAAUCCCAGAGCUCAACUCUGGAACUGCCUUUGAUACUGGGUGUCUUGAGUAUGGAAGAGGUGAGUGGAAUUCCGAGUGUAGAGGUGAAAUUCGUAGAUAUUCGGAGGAACACCAGUGGCGAAGGCGGCUCACUGGGCCAUGACUGACGCUGAGGUGCGAAAGCGUGGGGAGCAAACAGG
rnacentral:rRNA from 1 species